CUUCGGGUAAUGAGGAUGGCGGACGGGUGAGUAACGCGUAAGGAACUUGCCUCUUGGACUGGGACAACUGUUGGAAACGACAGCUAAUACCGGAUAUUAUGAGAUUCUCGCAUGAGAAAUUUAUGAAAGCUAUAUGCGCCAAGAGAGAGCCUUGCGUUCCAUUAGCUAGUUGGUGGGGUAACGGCCCACCAAGGCGACGAUGGAUAGCCGGCCUGAGAGGGUGAACGGCCACAAGGGGACUGAGACACGGCCCUUACUCCUACGGGAGGCAGCAGUGGGGAAUAUUGGACAAUGGGCCACAAGCCUGAUCCAGCAAUUCUGUGUGCACGAUGAAGGUCUUCGGAUUGUAAAGUGCUUUCAGUUGGGAAGAAGAAAGUGACGGUACCAACAGAAGAAGCGACGGCUAAAUACGUGCCAGCAGCCGCGGUAAUACGUAUGUCGCAAGCGUUAUCCGGAUUUAUUGGGCGUAAAGCGCGUCUAGGCGGAAAAAUAAGUCUGAUGUUAAAAUGCGGGGCUCAACUCCGUAUUGCGUUGGAAACUGUUUUUCUAGAGUACUGGAGAGGUGGGCGGAACUACAAGUGUAGAGGUGAAAUUCGUAGAUAUUUGUAGGAAUGCCGAUGGAGAAGUCAGCUCACUGGACAGA
rnacentral:rRNA from 1 species